GGGAUAUUUUAAGAGAAUGAUUCAUAGAGACAGCUGAUGCACCAGAUAUCACUCAGCUGCAAACACUUGUAGGACCACCACACAGUGCUAACAGAGAAGAGUGCAAAAUGUGGUUUUGGAGUGCAGCCGGCAUUUUCAGAGUUUAGAAAGGCAAAGAUGCCAAAUGGACUGCAAGAAGAGUAGUACAGCUCAGAUGGACUUAAAAGGAGAGGGGCAAAGAACUGCCAGAAUAGCUUCACCAAACCCUAUCUUGAGGCCUCACAGGUGUGAAAACCGAGCACUCCAGGUAUUUUACAACAUCAUCUCCCUAGCCAUGGUCACUUCCUACAGCUUUGUGUUUCCAAGGGCAACAAAAGCUAAAAUAAACAAAUGGGACUGCAUCAAGUUACACAAUUUGCACAAAAAAGGAAACUAUCAACAAAAUGGAAAAGCAAACUACUGAAUGAGAG
rnacentral:lncRNA from 1 species